GGAGAUGUAGCUCAGUGGAAAAGUUCUUGCCUAGCAUGCAUGAGGCCCUAGGUUCAAUCCCUAGCACCA
rnacentral:tRNA from 1 species